GAUGAACGCUGGCGGCGUGCCUAAUACAUGCAAGUCGAGCGAACAGACGAGGAGCUUGCUCCUCUGACGUUAGCGGCGGACGGGUGAGUAAAACGUGGAUAACCUACCUAUAAGACUGGGAUAACUUCGGGAAACCGGAGCUAAUACCGGAUAAUAUAUUGAACCGCAUGGUUCAAUAGUGAAAGACGGUUUUGCUGUCACUUAUAGAUGGAUCCGCGCCGCAUUAGCUAGUUGGUAAGGUAACGGCUUACCAAGGCAACGAUGCGUAGCCGACCUGAGAGGGUGAUCGGCCACACUGGAACUGAGACACGGUCCAGACUCCUACGGGAGGCAGCAGUAGGGAAUCUUCCGCAAUGGGCGAAAGCCUGACGGAGCAACGCCGCGUGAGUGAUGAAGGUCUUCGGAUCGUAAAACUCUGUUAUUAGGGAAGAACAAAUGUGUAAGUAACUAUGCACGUCUUGACGGUACCUAAUCAGAAAGCCACGGCUAACUACGU
rnacentral:rRNA from 1 species